AGUGAACGCUGGCGGUAGGCCUAACACAUGCAAGUCGAACGGCAGCACAGUAAGAGCUUGCUCUUACGGGUGGCGAGUGGCGGACGGGUGAGGAAUACAUCGGAAUCUACUUUUUCGUGGGGGAUAACGUAGGGAAACUUACGCUAAUACCGCAUACGACCUACGGGUGAAAGCAGGGGAUCUUCGGACCUUGCGCGAUUGAAUGAGCCGAUGUCGGAUUAGCUAGUUGGCGGGGUAAAGGCCCACCAAGGCGACGAUCCGUAGCUGGUCUGAGAGGAUGGUCAGCCACACUGGAACUGAGACACGGUCCAGACUCCUACGGGAGGAAGCAGUGGGGAAUAUUGGACAAUGGGCGCAAGCCUGAUCCAGCCAUACCGCGUGGGUGAAGAAGGCCUUCGGGUUGUAAAGCCCCUUUGUUGGGAAAGAAAAGCAGCAGGUUAAUACCCCGCUGUUCUGACGGUACCCAAAGAAUAAGCACCGGCUAACUUCGUG
rnacentral:rRNA from 1 species